rnacentral:rRNA from 1 species
AGCAUAUUNUUACGCGGAGGAAAAGAAACUAACAAGGAUUCCCCUAGUNACGGCGAGUGAAGCGGGAAGAGCUCAAGUUUAAAAUCGAUGUGCAUUCGCACUUCGAGUUGUAGUCUCGAGACAUGCUGUCUGCGGUGACGUCGGUACAAGUGCCUUGGAAGAGGUUAUCAGAGAGGGUGACAAUCCCGUCGCUGACCGACAGUUUGCCGCUUUCGACGUAUGUUCACAGAGUCGGAUUGCUUGGGAGUGCAGUCCUAAUUGGGUGGUAAAUUUCAUCUAAAGCUAAAUAUUGACGAGAGACCGAUAGCGAACAAGUACCGUGAGGGAAAGAUGAAAAGAACUUUGAAAAGAGAGUCAAAAAGUACUUGAACUUGUUAAGAGGGAAGAGUUGAAAACUAGUAUUGCUCGGGGUCACUUUCCCGCUCUGACUGAAACGGCGGUGUAAUGGGAGUUCAACCCCCAGUGCGCUGUUGGAUUAGUUUGAGUGGUCUCUGUGGCUUCGAGUAGGUCAACAUCAUUUCGAAGCGUGGGAGAAAGCUGGGCGGAAGGUAGGGUCUUCGGAUCUGUUAUAGACGUUCAGCCAUACCAUGCUUUGGAUUGAGGAUGUAUCGGCGCUCCGUUUUACGGAGUGACGACCGUUUGCCUCACUUGUUCUACGCGCUGGAAAACAAUGCUUUGCUGUGUGUAGGAUGGGUGACUGUGGGCGGAAGUCACCGUGUCGACGCGAUGUUGACGAAAUGGUUUUCAUCUACCCGU